UGUUAAACCUGCCUGAGGGAAAUACCUACGAUUCCCCUAGAAAGUUUCCUGCACGGCCUUCCUUGGAAGUUUGCUCUCCUGCCUGAAGUGAGCUUCAGCCUCUUUGGGCACAGAGAGCUCUCAUUUAUGUGCCUCAAAUGUUCCUGGGUAGGGUAUCAUUUAAAAAUUUCCAGUGGAUGCAUCUUAACUCAGCUCUGCAGCCUUCACUGUGCUGUUCCAUAAGGCUUCUCACCAUCUGAAGUGCAAAAUUCACCACCAGGAACUGGCCUUGGAGAUCUAGUUUAACUCUUGUCAAAGAGCCUGAGCAGUGUCUUCUUGGAGGAAAAAAUUCUACAGCAGAUUCUUCUUUUCCCAGUUGAUAGAAGUCAGUGACCACUAAGAGUGAUUCAAGCUUGAAAACUUAAAUAAAACUGUG
rnacentral:lncRNA from 1 species